AUAGCGUAUAUUAAAGUUGUUGCAGUUAAAAAGCUCGUAGUUGAACCUUGGGCCUGGCUGGCCGGUCCGCCUCACCGCGUGUACUGGUCCGGCCGGGCCUUUCCCUCUGUGGAACCCCAUGCCCUUCACUGGGUGUGGCGGGGAAACAGGACUUUUACUUUGAAAAAAUUAGAGUGCUCCAGGCAGGCCUAUGCUCGAAUACAUUAGCAUGGAAUAAUAGAAUAGGACGUGUGGUUCUAUUUUGUUGGUUUCUAGGAUCGCCGUAAUGAUUAAUAGGGACGGUUGGGGGCAUUAGUAUUCAGUUGCUAGAGGUGAAAUUCUUAGAUUUACGGAAGACUAACUUCUG
rnacentral:rRNA from 1 species